rnacentral:rRNA from 1 species
GAUGAACGCUGGCGGCGUGCUUAACACAUGCAAGUCGAACGGAAACAGGAUGAAGCCUAGCGAUUCCUGUUUUAGUGGCGGACGGGUGAGUAACGCGUGGGUAACCUGCCUUACACUGGGCGAUAACAGUUAGAAAUAGCUGCUAAUACCGCAUAAGCGCACAGGGCCGCAUGGCCUGGUGUGAAAAACUCCGGUGGUGUAAGAUGGACCCGCGUCUGAUUAGCUAGUUGGUGAGGUAACGGCCCACCAAGGCGACGAUCAGUAGCCGGCCUGAGAGGGUGAACGGCCACAUUGGGACUGAGACACGGCCCAAACUCCUACGGGAGGCAGCAGUGGGGAAUAUUGCACAAUGGGGGAAACCCUGAUGCAGCGACGCCGCGUGAGUGAAGAAGUAUUUCGGUAUGUAAAGCUCUAUCAGCAAGGGAGAAAAUGACGGUACUUGACUAAGAAGCCCCGGCUAACUACGUGCCAGCCGCCGCGGUAA